rnacentral:lncRNA from 1 species
CUAUUUUAAAGAGCGGACUGCACCAGAAGGAAAGGUUCAAGAAGGUCAUUACAUUGAACAUUCACCAUGGGAAGCACAUCAUGAAGGAAUGCGGCAGAGGGACCUACAGAGCAUGUGCAGAAAGGCGCUACUGCUGACUGUCUGUAUGGUGUCUCUCUGGGGACAACUGACCAGUGCAUCGUCACACAGAAGCCACAUAGAAUAGCUCCUCGCCAUGACACCAUGACAAAUGAAACAUCCUCAGUCAGUGACAUUUCCUUGUCAACAUUAGAAUGAACUUCUGUUUUCCAUGUAAUCCCCUGUUGUGUUCCUAUUACUGUAUCAUAUGCUUCACUGGCCAAGUGAGACUGAUAUA